rnacentral:rRNA from 1 species
GACGAACCGUGCAAACGUUAUUCGGAAUCACUGGGCAUAAAGGGCGCGUAGGCGGCUUGACAAGUCAGGGGUGAAAUCCGGCAGCUUAACUGUCGCAGUGCCUUUGAUACUGUCGAGCUCGAGGGAGGUAGGGGUCUGUGGAACUUCCGGUGGAGCGGUGAAAUGCGUUGAUAUCGGAAGGAACGCCGGUGACGAAAGCGACGGACUGGAUCUCUUCUGACGCUGAGGCGCGAAAGCCAGGGGAGCAAACGGG